rnacentral:rRNA from 1 species
UACGGAAGGCAGCAGUGGGGAAUAUUGCACAAUGGGCGCAAGCCUGAUGCAGCCAUGCCGCGUGUAUGAAGAAGGCCUUCGGGUUGUAAAGUACUUUCAGCGGGGAGGAAGGCGAUGUGGUUAAUAACCGCGUCGAUUGACGUUACCCGCAGAAGAAGCACCGGCUAACUCCGUGCCAGCAGCCGCGGUAAUACGGAGGGUGCAAGCGUUAAUCGGAAUUACUGGGCGUAAAGCGCACGCAGGCGGUCUGUUAAGUCAGAUGUGAAAUCCCCGGGCUUAACCUGGGAACUGCAUUUUGAAACUGGCAGGCUUGAGGUCUCGUAGAGGGGGUAGAAUUCCAGGUGUAGCGGUGAAAUGCGUAGAGAUCUGGAGGAAUACCGGUGGCGAAGGCGGCCCCUGGACGAAGACUGACGCUCAGGUGCGAAAGGCGUGGGGAGCGAAACAGGAUUAGGAUACC